CUAUACACUCACUACACAAUCACGCACUCUGCAUUCAUUAUAUACACACUACACAAUCACACACUCUGCAUUCAUUAUAUACACACACACACACACUGCAUUCACUAUAUAUACACACACACACACUGCAUUCACUAUAUACACACACACACACUGCAUUCACUAUAUACACACACUGCAUUCACUAUACACACACUACACAAAGACACACACUACACAAACACACACACUGCAUUCACUAUAC